UACGUAGGGGUGCAAGCGUUAAUCGGAAUUACUGGGCGUAAAGCGUGCGCAGGCGGUUUUGUAAGUCUGUCGUGAAAUCCCCGGGCUCAACCUGGGAAUUGCGAUGGAGACUGCAAGGCUAGAAUCUGGCAGAGGGGGGGUAGAAUUCCACGUGUAGCAGUGAAAUGCGUAGAGAUGUGGAGGAACACCGAUGGCGAAGGCAGCCCCCUGGGUCAAGAUUGACGCUCAUGCACGAAAGCGUGGGGAGCAAACAGG
rnacentral:rRNA from 1 species